rnacentral:rRNA from 1 species
GACGAACGCUGGCGGCGUGCCUAACACAUGCAAGUCGAACGGGGGGAACAUGAAGUAUUUCGGUACGGAAUGCGCCCCUAGUGGCGAACGGGUGAGUAACACGUGGGCAACCUGCCCCAGACUGGGGGAUAACAUUGUGAAAACAGUGCUAAUACCGCAUGACAGGGUUCCGGGCAUCCGGGACCCUUGAAAGGAGAAAUCCGGUCAGGGAUGGGCCCGCGUCCAAUUAGCUAGUUGGCGGGGUAACGGCCCACCAAGGCGACGAUUGGUAGCCGAACUGAGAGGUUGAUCGGCCACAUUGGGACUGAGACACGGCCCAGACUCCUACGGGAGGCAGCAGUGGGGAAUAUUGGGCAAUGGGCGAAAGCCUGACCCAGCGACGCCGCGUGGAGGAAGAAGUCCUUCGGGAUGUAAACUCAUGAAGCUAACGAAUAAGACGGAAGGGGAACCUUCCGGGAGAAGGUAAUUAGUGAAAAGCCCCGGCUAACUACGUG